UGGGGGAUAUUGCACAAUGGGCGAAAGCCUGAUGCAGCGACGCCGCGUGGGGGAUGAAGGCUUUCGGGUUGUAAACCUCUUUCGCUAUCGAACAAGGCCCGCUUAGGGUGGGUUGAGGGUAGGUGGAGAAGAAGCGCCGGCUAACUACGUGCCAGCAGCCGCGGUAAUACGUAGGGCGCGAGCGUUGUCCGGAAUUAUUGGGCGUAAAGGGCUUGUAGGCGGCUUGUUGCGCCUGCUGUGAAAACGCGGGGCUUAACUUCGCGCGUGCAGUGGGUACGGGCAGGCUUGAGUGUGGUAGGGGUGACUGGAAUUCCAGGUGUAGCGGUGGAAUGCGCAGAUAUCUGGAGGAACACCGAGGGCGAAGGCAGGUCACUGGGCCAUUACUGACGCUGAGGAGCGAAAGCAUGGGUAGCGAACAGG
rnacentral:rRNA from 1 species